rnacentral:rRNA from 1 species
UGAGGAAUAUUGGUCAAUGGACGCAAGUCUGAACCAGCCAAGUAGCGUGCAGGAUGACGGCCCUAUGGGUUGUAAACUGCUUUUAUAUGGGGAUAAAGUGGGGAACGUGUUCCCUUUUGCAGGUACCAUAUGAAUAAGGACCGGCUAAUUCCGUGCCAGCAGCCGCGGUAAUACGGAAGGUUCGGGCGUUAUCCGGUUUUAUUGGGUUUAAAGGGAGCGUAGGCCGUUUGGUAAGCGUGUUGUGAAAUGUAGGAGCUCAACUUCUAGAUUGCAGCGCGAACUGUCAGACUUGAGUGCGCACAACGUAGGCGGAAUUCAUGGUGUAGCGGUGAAAUGCUUAGAUAUCAUGACGAACUCCGAUUGCGCAGGCAGCUUACUGUAGCAUAACUGACGCUGAUGCUCGAAAGUGCGGGUAUCAAACAGG